rnacentral:rRNA from 1 species
GAGUUUGAUCCUGGCUCAGGAUGAACGCUGGCGGCGUGCCUAAUACAUGCAAGUCGAGCGAACGGACGAGAAGCUUGCUUCUCUGAUGUUAGCGGCGGACGGGUGAGUAACACGUGGGUAACCUACCUAUAAGACUGGGAUAACUCCGGGAAACGGGGCUAAUACCGGAUAACACAUGAAACCGCAUGGUUUCAUGAUGAAAGACGGUCUUGCUGUCACUUAUAGAUGGAUCCGCGCUGCAUUAGCUAGUUGGUAGGUAACGGCUUACCAAGGCAACGAUGCAUAGCCGACCUGAGAGGGUGAUCGGCCACACUGGAACUGAGACACGGUCCAGACUCCUACGGGAGGCAGCAGUAGGGAAUCUUCCGCAAUGGGCGAAAGCCUGACGGAGCAACGCCGCGUGAGUGAUGAAGGUCUUCGGAUCGU